rnacentral:rRNA from 1 species
UACAGAGGUCUCAAGCGUUGUUCGGAUUCAUUGGGCGUAAAGGGUGCGUAGGCGGCGCGGUAAGUCGGGUGUGAAAUCUUGGAGCUUAACUCCGAAACUGCAUUCGAUACUGCCGUGCUUGAGGACUGGAGAGGAGACUGGAAUUUACGGUGUAGCGGUGAAAUGCGUAGAUAUCGUAAGGAAGACCAGUGGCGAAGGCGGGGUCUCUGGACAGUUCCUGACGCUGAGGCACGAAGGCCCAGGGGGAGCAAAACGGGGAUUAGAAA